GGGAAUAUUGCGCAAUGGGCGAAAGCCUGACGCAGCGACGCCGCGUGGGUGAUGAAGGCCUUCGGGUCGUAAAGCCCUGUCGGGAGAGACGAAAACUCGACGACCCAAUACGUCGUCGACCUGCCGGUAUCUCCUAAGGAAGCACCGGCUAACUCCGUGCCAGCAGCCGCGGUAAUACGGAGGGUGCGAGCGUUGGUCGGAAUUACUGGGCGUAAAGCGCGUGUAGGCGGCUUCUUAAGUUCGGUGUGAAAGCCCGGGGCUCACCCCCGGAAGUGCACUGGAUACUGAGAAGCUUGAGUACCGGAGAGGAGGGUGGAAUUCCUGGUGUAGCGGUGAAAUGCGUAGAUAUCAGGAGGAACACCGGUGGCGAAGGCGGCCCUCUGGACGGCUACUGACGCUGAGACGCGAAAGCGUGGGGAGCAAAC
rnacentral:rRNA from 1 species